CCCUUAGAUGUCCGGGGCUGCACGCGCGCUACACUGAAGGAAUCAGCGUGCUAAAACCAUUGUCGAAAGGCAUUGGUAAACCCAUUAAAAUCCUACGUGAUUGGGAUCGGGAAUUGCAAUUAUUUCCCUUGAACGAGGAAUUCCCAGUAAGUGUGGGUCAUAAGCUCGCGUUGAUUACGUCCCUGCCCUUUGUACACACCGCCCGUCGCUGCCCGGGACUGAGCCGUUUCGAGAAAAGCGGGGACUGCUGCUGUCGGGGCUUUCGGGCCUUGGCUUCGGUGGAAACCGCUUUAAUCACAGUGGCUUGAACCGGGCAAAAGUCGUAACA
rnacentral:rRNA from 1 species